rnacentral:lncRNA from 1 species
UCACCCUGCUAUUCUUCCUUAUAAGGGAUCCAAAGAGGCAGGUUGAUUGUCAGUAUGGUAUUUUAGUUUUGUUGGGUCCCUGUCUAUAAUACCAUUAUAAUAUUUAUAAUUUCACUGAAACCUUAGCCCAAACUUUUAAGGGUGAAGGUAAGAUAGAGCCUUCUGUUUAUGGGCACAUUGGAUCAAAGCCUAAAAUCCUUGAGAUCCUCCCAGGCAUAUUGGCCCAGCUUCAGAAAAACAGCAGUAAGCAGACAGAUUGGGCAGCUUGGGGCCUGGGGUGAGAGUACCAGCCUUGCCCUCAACUCUCCAGGGGCAGGAGGCUGUGCCAGGUGUUCAGCUUCUCCUAGAGCAUGAUGCAUUGUGGCAUGAGUCUGGCAAGGUGUUCAGCUGUGAAGCCUGGAUCAACUGGUCCCAGGGAGGUGGAUAUGUAUGCAGAGGAGGAUGGAAGGGCAAGAGUCAUGCAAGUCUUCCUUGGACUAAUCUCUGAGGCCCCUUUUACUCCUGGAUGAAUCCUGGCCAAAAAAGUCA